rnacentral:rRNA from 1 species
UACGGAGGAUGCGAGCGUUAUCCGGAUUUAUUGGGUUUAAAGGGUGCGCAGGCGGCAAGAAAAGCUUAAGGUGAAAGCGUGGGGCUCAACCCCAUAAAGCCUUAGGAACUAGCUUGCUAGAGUGCAGGAGAGGGCGAUGGAAUUCCAUGUGUAGCGGUAAAAUGCGUAGAUAUAUGGAGGAACACCAGUGGCGAAGGCGACUUUCUGGACAGUAACUGACGUUGAGGCACGAAAGUGUGGGGAGCAAACAGG